ACACCAUGUCAAGUCGUGCGCGAAGGUGGCUUCGGCCACCGGAGAGCGGCGAACGGGCUCGAUGUAACACGUGGGUGAUCUGCCUGGGAGCGGGGGAUAACCUGGGGAAACUCGGGCUAAUACCGCAUACGUUGUUGGGGUUGCGGCCUCAACAAGAAAGCUGGCCUCUGUUUACAAGCUAGCACUCCCAGAGGAGCCCGCGGCUGAUUAGCUAGUUGGUGGGGUAAAGGCCCACCAAGGCGACGAUCAGUAGCCGGCCUGAGAGGGUGAUCGGCCACACUGGGACUGAGACACGGCCCAGACUCCUACGGGAGGCAGCAGUGGGGAAUAUUGGACAAUGGGCGCAAGCCUGAUCCAGCAACGCCGCGUGGAGGACGAAGGUCUUCGGAUCGUAAACUCCUGUCAGGCGGGACGAAGGCUGCGGGGCAAAUAGCCCCGUAGCUUGACGGUACUGCCAGAGGAAGCCCCGGCUAACUCCGUGCCAGCAGCCGCGGUAAUACGGAGGGGGCUAGCGUUAUUCGGAAUUAUUGGGCGUAAAGGGCGCGUAGGCGGCCCGGUAAGUCAAAGGUGAAAUCCCUCGGCUCAACUGAGGAACUGCCUUUGAAACUGUCGGGCUUGAGGCCGGGAGGGGGUAGCGGAAUUCCCAGUGUAGCAGUGAAAUGCGUAGAUAUUGGGAGGAACACCGGUGGCGAAGGCGGCUACCUGGACCGGUUCUGACGCUGAUGCGCGAAAGCGUGGGUAGCAAACAGGAUUAGAUACCCUGGUAGUCCACGCUGUAAACGAUGGGUGCUCGGU
rnacentral:rRNA from 1 species